rnacentral:lncRNA from 1 species
UGAAAAAGAGAGGAAGGAGAAUCAUCAAUAGUGAUAAAUUACAGAGCCCAUAUUUAAGAGUUUCAUCAAUCAAGGGAUGGAAGGGUUGGGAAGGCUAAAGCAUAAAGUUCUUUACAUAGAGUUAAUUUACAAAGUCCUAAACGCCAAUAAGAAAUAUGAAAUGCUAUUUAGCCUAGGUAUCUGAAACCUUCAAAAAGGACUUGGCAAAAUGGGAGGGGCUCAGAUCGAAUCAAAUACUUUAAACCUGAAAUAGGUUUCUAUCACUAUAGGGCUGAAGUGUGAAGCUUCCCGUGCAAUUCACUACAGUUCCAUCUACACGAAAAGUACAAUGAGAAGAAGAAUGAAUGAAGAUUUUUCAAAAGCAACAGAGUACUUAGCCAGUGAAAGAUACCAAUUUCUUGGACAAACACCCUUAACAAAAGGAGAAACCACAACCAUUCACAAGAGAACAUAGCUGAAAAUGGGUUACUGUAAGCAGAGGAUUCUUAUGAUGUCUAUCAAAAAGAACAUGAAAUGUAAAUUAUUCUUGAAAGUUGAUGAUGGAUGAGGAACAGUGUUAGUAACCCAUAAGAGGAUAAAGAAGAAGCUGGAGUUGAGAUACGACGCAAAGGAAUAAGGGAAUAAAGGGAACCCUAAAACUUUCUUAUAUGUAAUAAGUGGGUAUGGGCUAUGAAUUGGGAGAUUUGGGCUGCCAGAUACUUUUUUUUGUGUGUUUUUG